rnacentral:tRNA from 1 species
GCUCCUAUAGCUCAGCUGGUAGAGCAAUUGAUUCGUAAUCAAGAGGUCGCAGGUUCGACUCCUGUUAGGAGCACCA